rnacentral:rRNA from 1 species
UACGUAGGGUCCGAGCGUUGUCCGGAAUUACUGGGCGUAAAGAGCUCGUAGGUGGUUUGUCGCGUUGUUCGUGAAAACUCACAGCUCAACUGUGGGCGUGCGGGCGGAUACGGGCAGACUUGAGUACUGCAGGGGAGACUGGAAUUCCUGGUGUAGCGGUGGAAUGCGCAGAUAUCAGGAGGAACACCGGUGGCGAAGGCGGGUCUCUGGGCAGUAACUGACGCUGAGGAGCGAAAGCGUGGGGAGCGAACAGG